rnacentral:rRNA from 1 species
CCGGAGAGGGAGCCUGAGAAAUGGCUACCACAUCUAGGGAUGGCAGCAGGCGCGCAAAUUACCCAAUCCCGACCUGGGGAGGUAGUGACAAUAAAUAACAAUGCGGUCCUUAAUUGGUUCUGCAAUUGGAAUGAGAACAAUCUAAACACCUUAACGAGGAGCAAUUGGAGGGCAAGUCUGGUGCCAGCAGCCGCGGUAAUUCCAGCUCCAAUAGCGUAUAUUAAAGUUGUUGCAGUUAAAAAGCUCGUAGUUGGAUUUCGGAACGGUCGGGUUGGUCCGCCCUUCGUGGUGUGUACUGGCCUUGGUGGUGUUGGUUGGGGGCUUGCUUCUGGCCUGCCGCCCUUGUCGCGUGUAUUGCGUGACAGGUGAUCGUUCUUCUCCCUCGGAGACGGAGUCUGUCCUUAGUUGGGCGGGCUCUGGAUGCGAGGUGUUUACUUUGAAAAAAUUAGAGUGUUCAAAGCAGGCUUCUAUCUUGGCUUGAAUACAUUAGCAUGGAAUAAUGGAAUAGGACUCUGUGUCUAUUUUGUUGGUUUGAAGGCAGAGAGUAAUGAUUAAUAGGGACAGUUGGGGGCAUUCGUAUUUAAUUGUCAGAGGUGAAAUUCUUGGAUUUCUGAAAGACGAACAACUGCGAAAGCAUUUGCCAAGGAUGUUUUCAUUAAUCAAGAACGAAAGUUAGGGGUUCGAAGACGAUCAGAUACCGUCGUAGUCCUAACCAUAAACAAUGCCGACUAGGGAUCAGCGUGCGUUCGUUUUCAUUGGACGUCGUUGGCACCUUACGAGAAAUCAAGAGUUUUUGGGUUCUGGGGGG